AGUGAACGCUGGCGGUAGGCCUAACACAUGCAAGUCGAACGGCAGCACAGUAAGAGCUUGCUCUUACGGGUGGCGAGUGGCGGACGGGUGAGGAAUACAUCGGAAUCUACUUUUUCGUGGGGGAUAACGUAGGGAAACUUACGCUAAUACCGCAUACGACCUACGGGUGAAAGCAGGGGAUCUUCGUACCUUGCGCGAUUGAAUGAGCCGAGGUCGGAUUAGCUAGUUGGCGGGGUAAAGGCCCACCAAGGCGACGAUCCGUAGCUGGUCUGAGAGGAUGGUCAGCCACACUGGAACUGAGACACGGUCCAGACUCCUACGGGAGGCAGCAGUGGGGAAUAUUGGACAAUGGGCGCAAGCCUGAUCCAGCCAUACCGCGUGGGUGAAGAAGGCCUUCGGGUUGUAAAGCCCUUUUGUUGGGAAAGAAAAGCAGCAGGUUAAUACCCCGCUGUUCUGACGGUACCCAAAGAAUAAGCACCGGCUAACUUCGUG
rnacentral:rRNA from 1 species